AAGUAUAUCUGUUGCUCUUCUAACUUUAUGUUUGAUAGGCAGAAGCAUUUGUUGGAUAUGGAGAAUCAGCGCUCCUUGUGAAUGGGUGGAAUGAAGCGACUGCCACAACUGCGUUCAAAGGGACAUGAGCUUUCUCUGGGGGAAAACCUGAUUCCAUGUUACCUGCUAAAGGCUGUUGCUAAGCCUGUGAUAGAUGAUGCCUGUGAUAGAUGAUGCAAUGCUCUCUAUUCAGGAACUGUCCUGGCAGAGAGAGAGACAAAGGAAGGAGUCGUCGUCGUCCUCGUCGUCGUCCUAGUCCUCGUCGUCAGCAGCAGCAGCAGCAGCAGCAGCAGGAAAGGGAGAGCUGAAGACAUGAAGAAGAGGCACGGCUGCUUCUAGUCCACAGGCUGGAUAGAGAGAAGGCUGAUACCUAUGUUCAAGAUAAUUCUCAUAUAAAGGUAAGAGGAUCUUUCACAAAAGGGAUAAAGCACCCCUUCAGGAGCAUGCUCUAAUCUUGGCUGGUAUGGGGCUCCUAAAAUUAUUGAUUGUUGCUGCUGCUUCUUUGAUUGCGCAGCAGUAGGUGAGCAGGUGUUGUGGGGUCAGCGUGGUUGGGUGGGCACAUUAGAG
rnacentral:lncRNA from 1 species